CCAAUAGCGUAUAUUAAAGUUGUUGCAGUUAAAAAGCUCGUAGUUGAAUUUCGGGAUUAGUACGUUGGUCGUGCCUUAGGUACGUACUGGUGUUACUGGUUCCUACCUUCUGACGAACCAUCAUGUCAUUAAUUUGGUGUGGCGGGGAAUCAGGACUGUUACUUUGAAAAAAUUAGAGUGUUUAAAGCAGGCUCGCGCUUGAAUACAUUAGCAUGGAAUAAUGAAAUAGGACGUUNGAUCCUAUUUUGUUGGUUUCUAGGAUUGACGUAAUGAUUAAUAGGGAUAGUUGGGGGCAUUAGUAUUCAAUUGUCAGAGGUGAAAUUCUUGGAUUUAUUGAAGACUAACUACUGCGAAAGCAUUUGCCAAGGAUGUUUUCAUUAAUCAAGAACGAAAGUUAGGGGAUCGAAGACGAUCAGAUACCGUCGUAGUCUUAACCAUAAACUAUGCCGACUAGGGAUCGGAUGAUGUUAAUUUUUUAAUGACUCA
rnacentral:rRNA from 1 species